CCGGCUCGUCAGCCUGGACUGGGUUUAGAGCUUUUCUUGCCAGGGUCCUGCCUCCACCCAACCAGCUUGGACAACCCUCUAUCAUCGUCAGCCCGAGCCAGUCUUCCACUUGCCACGACUCUUGGGCCGCCCUUCUUGGGAGGCCAGCCUCACAGCCAAAAGAGUUCCGUAGCCUGCCUUUCUCGUCCCGACUUACUGCUGUCUCUCUGCCCACCCGCACCCCAUCCUGGUGUGACGGGCCCAGCAUGCCUUGCCGUGGAGCCCCCCUUUCCAAGGCUGGCACCCUGGCUCUGUUCUCUUCAUCCCCUCCUGCGGGCUCUUCCUCGCUGCUCCUUCGAUUGCUCUAGUCUCUAUCUCCUCAGUCUUCUCUCCUGCCUUAAAUCUCACGCAGGCACACACACAGCCUGGAGAAAAGCCAGCAAAACUGCCCCAUCCCCUCCGUGCAAAUGCCAAACAAGUCGCCUUUGUGGCCCAGAAUUCAUUCCCAAUCCCUGUCUCUUAUCUCCAGUAACUUGCUGGCCACUCUCACCUUGGCUUGCUGGCUGUGUCCCCAGACCUCAAAUUUCACUUGUUUAAGCAGAGGACACUUCGCCUGCAGACGGGCUCCAAUGUUCUGUCUUCACCCCGUGAUGUCAUUGCUUCUCCUGUCGUCUCUUUAAGUCCAUAACUUUUUGUCCUCCAACUGGCAUGCAACUUGUCCCUUACUCCUCUUUCCCUCCACGGGCCUCCUAGCUCAGGUUCUUAGGACUGUAUACCAGCCCUGGCCACAGUCCUCAAAUUACUCUCCAGCCCCCUGCCUCCUCCUUUGUUCCUUGAUGACGCCCCUCCACACCUCGCUGCCAGUAUCAUUUUCCUAAAACACAGCUUUCAGCAAACCCUUAGUCUGCUUGAAAACUUGCAGCCACUUCACCCCCUAAAGGAAUAAGCCGGACUUCCCAGCUUGGAGCUCCACCUCCCUUUCACUGACCCCAGUUGGCUUUUGCAAACUGGAUCCCCACUCUCCUACAAGAAAUGAAGCAGAUACAGCGGCAUGCCCCCCACACCCUCACAUAUGGGGCAAAUUCUCACCCUGGUGCCCUCGCUUGAGCCUGUGUCCUCCACCUGGAGUCCUUCCCCAUGUUGACCUUGGGUUCUUCAAUUCUGGGAGAUCCUUGAAUACCCCUCACUUUAUCCUCAUUGCCAGAUACCGUCCCUGACCCCAUGCCUGUUUGGUGUGUCUCUCACUUCCCACAGUGCAAACACUGAUGAGGUCUAGCUUCUCCGUUUCAGCCUGUCACACCCGUGUCCACACCCGUUACAGGUUCCUGAGGUCAGGAACCGCACCACGCAGGUUGCGGGUUGACCAGCUCGCCCAGCACGGCCCUCCACCCACAACCAGUGCUCA
rnacentral:lncRNA from 1 species